rnacentral:rRNA from 1 species
UACAGAGGGGGCAAGCGUUGUUCGGAAUUACUGGGCGUAAAGGGCGCGUAGGCGGCCUGUUAAGUCGAACGUGAAAUCCCCGGGCUCAACCCGGGAACUGCGUCCGAUACUGGCAGGCUUGAAUUCGGGAGAGGGAUGCGGAAUUCCAGGUGUAGCGGUGAAAUGCGUAGAUAUCUGGAGGAACACCGGUGGCGAAGGCGGCGAUCCUG